rnacentral:lncRNA from 1 species
AGUGAUUAAAGAAGUCAGCCCAAUCUUAAAGUCCAAAGUUUCUUCGGGCUUGCGAAGUUCUUGUCCCAGCCCAAGUUCGGCCGCCGUUGCGUCGUCGUCUCGGUGUCCCGGCCUUCGUUUGGUGCAAGUGGGUUUUACUCACUAAUGCUUUCUUAGUUUGCUAAUUAUACUUAGGGUUGGUUAGAUUUAAUUAAAUGCAAUUAGGUGGUUAGAUUAGGUUAGAACAAAUAAAUUAGUGACUUAAGGAUGCAUGUUAGGUGGUUAGCUAUAGCCAUUAGGGAGUAGAAAUACUCUAUUAUUUAUUGAAUGCAUCUCGGGAUUUUUCCCUACCCGUUUCGAGUUCCAUUCAGGCAAUACGGGCCUAAAUUGGAUUUUUAAUAUUAAUUUAUUUAAUUUUCGAAAUUAAUUAUUUAAUUAUUUAUUUUUCUGGAAAUUCAACCGGGAUGGUCGGUGACCGGAAUUUCGUGCCGAUUGUCGUGGUGCAGUCCGUUUAUUUAAUUGAGCUUCAAUUUUUAUGGAAUUGAUUUAAAUUGUGAAAUUUGAGGAAUUGUCCUAAAUUGUUUGUUAUUGAAUAUUUGAUUGGUAGAUGGCCGAGUAUGGGUAUAUAGCGCCAGUACGUUGAUGGGCUAUAUAGUAGAGAGAAUGGUGAGAGCUAACUGAGAAUGUUAUUGGCUGAGACCAGUCAGGUACGAUAUUUUGGACAAACGUGGUUCGGUGAUUGGAAGUAUCAUUGGCGAAAACGGCGCCUUAAAAAACGCACGUGAAUAACUUAUAGACAAACGUGGUUCGGUGAUUAAGGAAAUAUCACUGGUGAAAACGACGCCUUAAAGAACUCACAAUGUUGUCUAUUGCCGAUGUCACCUUGGCGAAAACGGCGCCCUAGAAAGGACACGUGGUUCGGUUAUCGAGAAUAUCACUGGUGAAAACGGCGCCUUAAAGAACGCACGGUGUCGGUGAUCGGUAUGUCAUUGGCGAAAACGACGCCCGAGAAACACAUGUGAUUUGGUGAAGGAGUAUAUCAUUAGGGAAUCAUGAUAUGAGUGGGAAUGACCUAGAGGUGAUUCAAAUGACAUGUAAUUGACUAAAUUGAUUGACCAGUGCUUGAUCGGAUGUUGUGAAUUGUUUGAAUAUCUGUGUUUAACCAUGAAUUGCAGGUUGGAAUCUGAGGCCAAGGUAAGUCCUUUGGUCUGUGCAUGUUUAGGCAACCUAUAGUGUAUUGGCUUACUAAUCAGAUUUUAGGGGGUGAGACGUGGUCUCAUUAGUUAUUGAAUAACCAUUUCAGGACCCUGAGGAGGAGCCAAGGAAGAGGAACCUGAGGAGGAGAAAGAUUUUUGAAGAAGAAGAAGAUGAUCCAGAGAGGGAUCUUGAGUACAACUCGGAUGUGGAU